GCCAGAGGGUGCAAACGUUGUUCGGAAUUACUGGGCGUAAAGCGCGUGUAGGCGGCCCUGCAAGUCGGAUGUGAAAUCCCACGGCUCAACCGUGGAAGUGCAUUCGAAACUGCAGGGCUAGAGUCCUGGAGAGGAAGGUGGAAUGCUUGGUGUAGAGGUGAAAUUCGUAGAUAUCAAGCGGAACACCGGUGGCGAAGGCGGCCUUCUGGACAGUGACUGACGCUGAGACGCGAAAGCGUGGGGAGCAAACAGG
rnacentral:rRNA from 1 species